UGCAACUUAGCUCAAAAAACUGAAAGGAGAACUGAAGAAUCUGCCUGCGUCCGUCAUCAUUCUCACUCUAUCGGAAAAAGAAAAUAGAAUUCCCAAUUGUUGAUAUAAUCGUCGCCGUCGUCGAGUUCCUCACAAUGCCGCCUUUGCUCUCGCUUGCGGUUGUUGCUUCUGCAGUUUCUUAUUAAACGUGUAUCCCCUCACCGGUUUCCAUUUUCUACAUAUAUUGCUAUUUCGGAAUUGACUAUCUUUGAAUAUUGAAUUCCGAUUUCUGUGUUUGGUUUGGAGCUAUAAAUCGAUUUCUCUAGUUUCGAUUUCAUCAUAUAUACUAGUAAAUUAUUUGAUUUGACUAAACAUUUCAUAGCUAGUAUUCUCACAUCUUAGUCAAGCUAGGUAGUAGGAAUAGUUGAUCAAACGGAUUUCCAAUCGAUCGGAAUCACUGGCCGGCAAUGGCCGGGGUUUCGCGGCGAAACAUUCGAGACAAAGCAACCUCCGCUGGCAAAUCGCCGAACCUCGACAACAACACCAGAACCCGAAAGUCCGCCGCCGGAGGCCACCGCGGUUUCACUCGGAUCGUCACUUCCACUUCCUCGAUUUUGUUGUCUAUUGGAAUUGUUCUCAUCACUAUCGGAUUUUGUAUGAAGAAUUAUUUCAUAAACCCUGCUAAGGAGACUGUAAAACCCAGGGUCGUCAUGCCCGUUAUCCGCUCCAAAGCUCAUGGAUCUUCCUAUGUUUCAAGGGGAGCACUAGGAGAGUUUGUAUUGGGGAACAUACAGGCCUCAUGUUUAUUUUGGAAUUCGUGCGCGGACUCCUCAGUCUCUGCUGGCGGGUCUGAUGUGGCUUGGUGUAAGGAUGGGAGAUAUGUGAUGCGGCAUGUGUGCCAGGACUCAGAUGAGCUAGCGACAUAUGGUUGGACGCACCAUAACGGACGGGAUUAUGGACGUCAAGUAUUGGUUGACCAAAAUUUGGUGUUGACAACGAAUUUCCUGAAAUCAAGGGAGGAAGAGAGUGGUUAUGGUGGGAACUGGGCACUUCCAAUCGAAGCACAAAGUGAAGUGUACGUGCCUAUACCUUUUAUACUGCUUCGUUUCAAUGACUUGCAUGGUUUAUCAUGAAAUGAAAAGAUUUUGCCUAGGAUUUCCAAAAUACUUCGUCGUGGCUAAUCAUCUGUAAAGUUGAAUUAAGUGACGCACUUUUCGUGCUGAAGUUUCAAUGGAGGCAUGAAUUGCAUUUUGAAGUUGAAGUAGAAUAAUAGAACCAAGUAAUGUUGCUACAUCUGGAAUCGUAUAAGGAGGAGCAAGGUUGCCAAUAUGUCGCAACAGUGAGGCAAAUCAUUUACUCUUGUGUUUAUCAAUGAGUUCAGUCUCUUUUCCUUCAUAUAUUCAGAUGCUAUUUCUUUUGGGAAACCAGGGCAAUAUUUUUACCUUUGCACGAUUUCACUUCUUUAAAUUUGUUGAUCAGUAGCUAGAGCCUGUCAUACUCAGAAAUAUAAGGUUUAUUCAGUACGUAUUUAUGAUAUUAUCUCCUAGUACAUAGAUAACCUAAUAAUAGCUUACUGAAUUUCUUAAGGAGAACUUUGAGUUCCAUUAUGCUGGUUUCAAGACACAUAACAUUCACAAUUUAUCUGAGCUUGUCCAAACCAAUCUUGCAAUCCAGCUAUGUACAAUUUUAGGUUUCACUAUGGAGCCCCUGCCUUUUGGCUGUAUCUUUGCAAUACUUAAAUAACAAUUUAUGGGGUUUUGAUCUAUGCAAAGCCCAUUCUUAAUACAAAAAUGCAGAACCAAACAUACAAAGGUCAUUUUUAAGUCAUCAUAAGCUUAUUUUUACGUCAUUAUAGUAAUGAUGACAUAAAAUGAUCUUAACAUGACCUCAAACCCGAAUUUUAUAAUAUGACCUAAAACUACUUUAUAAUGACCCUCUGUAUUUUUAUUUAAUUAUUGACCAUUAGAUUGCAAAAUCUCAUGGUCAGGAUUUGGUCUGGAUUUUGUAUUGAUCAUUUUCCACAAUUUAUUGUAGGCUCAGACAACCCGCUGACUUCAACUCUCGGAUACAUCUGAUCAUGCUUCAAAUAUUCUAGUUUUCCAGGUUUCUGCAAUGAUUACUUUCAAAGUGGAUAUUGCUUUUGUGACAAAAUUGAGUGGUUCUACUUCAAGAUUAAAAGAACGUAUCAGAAGUUUUAUAGAACGUUGAAAUCAUUCCAGGCGACUCUUUAUCCAGUAAUCUCAAGCAUAAACAGGAGCAAUUUAACAACAAAUUCCAGAGCUGUUUUGACAUGUCCAAUGAGAUCAACCCUGAACCCAUAAUAGUGGCCAAAGCAGCACUCGGGAAUUUGCUGGGCGGGGUUGGCUACUUUUAUGGCCAAUCAAAAAUUUCACUUCCACCUUCCUCUAAAGUUGGACAUCAUGGCUGAAUCCUUUAGUGAGUGUUAGGAAAGUCUUAUUCAAAACGCAACUCCGAGAUCAACUCAUAUACUUGUUCUUUCAAACACAUGGAGUAGUAUUAUAGAAUAUGGAUAUAGUUUUAUCACUUAGAUGAAACUCAACUAGUUAAGUUUGCUAAUGUUAUGUUGCUGAUGCAUAAUUUCUAGUUGGGGUAUUUGUUUAUAAAAUUCUUAACUUUCAUCAAAUUCUGGUUUUCAUACCAACUUUAAAAACUACAAACUAUUGAUUGUUCUAA